AAAAAUGACAAAUUUCUGUGUUUUCAUAGUGUUAAAAGAUGAAUACAAUUCUGUUAACCAAUGACUUUAAUGAGAGAAAAAUUUAAAACGAAGUAUUAUGAAAUGAUAGUUGAUGACUUAACCUGUAAUGUUUCCAUGGGUUUUGUGAACUUCAUAUCUCCUAUGGAUCCGUCAAUCUUUGUCCAUGCAAAAGAAGCGCGGACCUUUAUGUUGAUAAAUGUAUUCAUGAUAUAAAUGUAUCUACAAAUAAUGCAUAAAAUUCAUUCCAGGUGAAAAAAAUUUAUAAACUUAAAUAAACUCACUUGAAAAAGUUGAAUACUCUGCUGGGAAGGAGUUGGUUCACUAACUCAGAAUUUUGGCCCAAAAAUUCUGAAAUUUUUUCUCUACCAAAAUGUGGUCAAAAUUUGAAGAAAACAUGUGCUAAAAUGUCCAAUAGUUUUGC
rnacentral:lncRNA from 1 species